rfam:Lactobacillus oligofermentans DSM 15707 = LMG 22743 strain DSM 15707 NODE_4, whole genome shotgun sequence.
UCAAUGGCUUUUUCCAAGCCACCCAUAUUAACUAAGACAUAAUAG